AUUGAACGCUGGCGGCAUGCUUUACACAUGCAAGUCGAACGCACCGCAAGGUGAGUGGCGCACGGGUGAGUAACACGUGGGAACGUAUCCUUUGGUUCGGAAUAACGUCUGGAAACGGACGCUAAUACCGGAUGAGCCCUUAGGGGGAAAGAUUUAUCGCCGAAGGAGCAGCCCGCGUCUGAUUAGGUAGUUGGUGGGGUAAAGGCCUACCAAGCCGACGAUCAGUAGCUGGUCUGAGAGGAUGAUCAGCCACACUGGGACUGAGACACGGCCCAGACUCCUACGGGAGGCAGCAGUGGGGAAUAUUGGACAAUGGGCGCAAGCCUGAUCCAGCCAUGCCGCGUGAGUGAUGAAGGCCUUCGGGUUGUAAAGCUCUUUCGCACACGACGAUGAUGACGGUAGUGUGAGAAGAAGCCCCGGCUAACUUCGUGCCAGCCGCCGCGGUAAUAC
rnacentral:rRNA from 1 species